AACGAACGCUGGCGGCGUGGAUAAGACAUGCAAGUCGAGCGCUGAUUACAGGGUAGCAAUAUUCUGUGGUCGGAGCGGCGCAAGGGUGCGUAACACGUGGGUAAUCUGCCAUGAAGUUUGGGAUAACUUGCUGAAAGGCGAGCUAAUACCGGAUGUGAAAACUGGAAGGCAUCUUCCGGGUUUCAAAGCUGGGGACCGUAAGGCCUGGCGCUUCAUGAUGAGCCCGCGACCUAUCAGCUAGUUGGUGAGGUAACGGCUCACCAAGGCUAAGACGGGUAGCUGGUCUGAGAGGACGACCAGCCACACUGGAACUGAGACACGGUCCAGACACCUACGGGUGGCAG
rnacentral:rRNA from 1 species